UAAUACGGAGGGUGCGAGCGUUGUCCGGAAUCACUGGGCGUAAAGGGCGCGUAGGCGGCCCGGUAAGUAGGGGGUGAAAUCUUGCGGCUUAACCGCAAGGCUGCCUUCUAGACUGCCAGGCUCGAGCACAGUAGAGGCAGGUGGAAUUCCCGGUGUAGCGGUGGAAUGCGUAGAGAUCGGGAAGAACAUCAGUGGCGAAGGCGGCCUGCUGGACUGUAGCUGACGCUGAGGCGCGACAGCGUGGGGAGCAAACAGGAUUAGAUACCCUGGUAGUCCACGCCGUAAACGAUGGGCACUAGGCGUCGGGGGGAGCGACCCUCCCGGUGCCGUCGCUAACGCAGUAAGUGCCCCGCCUGGGGAGUACGGCCGCAAGGCUGAAACUCAAAUGAAUUGACGG
rnacentral:rRNA from 1 species